UACAGAGGGGGCAAGCGUUGUUCGGAAUUACUGGGCGUAAAGGGCGCGUAGGCGGCCAACUAAGUCGGACGUGAAAUCCCCUGGCUCAACCAGGGAACUGCGUCCGAGACUGGCUGGCUGGAAUCCGGGAGAGGGAUGUGGAAUUCCAGGUGUAGCGGUGAAAUGCGUAGAUAUCUGGAGGAACACCGGUGGCGAAGGCGGCAUCCUGGACCGGUAUUGACGCUGAGGCGCGAAAGCCAGGGGAGCAAACGGG
rnacentral:rRNA from 1 species